rnacentral:rRNA from 1 species
GAUGAACGCUGGCGGCGUGCUUAACACAUGCAAGUCGAACGAUGAAGCCCAGCUUGCUGGGUGGAUUAGUGGCGAACGGGUGAGUAACACGUGAGUAACCUGCCCUUAACUCUGAGAUAAGCCUGGGAAACUGGGUCUAAUACCGGAUAGGAGCGCCUACCGCAUGGUGGGUGUUGGAAAGAUUUAUCGGUUUUGGAUGGACUCGCGGCCUAUCAGCUUGUUGGUGAGGUAAUGGCUCACCAAGGCGACGACGGGUAGCCGGCCUGAGAGGGUGACCGGCCACACUGGGACUGAGACACGGCCCAGACUCCUACGGGAGGCAGCAGUGGGGAAUAUUGCACAAUGGGCGAAAGCCUGAUGCAGCGACGCCGCGUGAGGGAUGACGGCCUUCGGGUUGUAAACCUCUUUCAGUAGGGAAGAAGCGAAAGUGACGGUACCUGCAGAAGAAGCACCGGCUAACUACGUG